rnacentral:rRNA from 1 species
UUUUUUAGGUAAUAGGUCUCGGUUUGAGCGAGCAGCAUGGAUUCGCAGCGGCGGCUGCGCUCUGGGCCGUGCGGUAGGCGUAGGCCGGGACGCGGGGCGCGGCGCGGCGGGGGCGGGGGCGAGCGGCUCCGGGGGGAGAGGCCUAGAGGUCGGUACAUGCCGCCGCUGCUCCAGAGCCGGUAGCAGUAGCUGCACCCGAGGAUGUCGACGUUCCGGCCGAUGCGCCCGCUGCUGUGGGGGUUUAGGCAGAAGGGGAGCCAACAACCAAGUUAACUUGUUCGCCUUCUAUGACUACUUCGAUUCGGUCUCUUCCUCCGACUGAGACGUAGACUAGGAUUCUUACCUAGGUUCGGAUACCUACACCUGUUUCGGUUCUGUUUUGCGUUUAAAAUACAUCCAGUUCUUAAUCUUAAGUCCUCCCUAGUAUACCUCCACUAGAGUGGUUACUUUCUACCUUGUCAAUACCUAACCCUACAACAACUGUUGUAUACCUUAGUACGAAAAUCUGCCUCCGAUAACUAGUUAGGACUUCUCGUAGGAUACGAGUAUCGCCUUGGUAGAUAUUUGUCACGUGUCGUUUCUCUCUUUCGUCGUCUUGAAUACAAACUCUUCAUGUUUCACGGUCGCGACAAGGAUCGUUUUUUACGCCAAGAGUGUAGAAAACGUAGACCUGCACGAUGUAGAGAUCACCAACUGUCACCACCACCCAGAUGACACCAAAGACGACACGUACUACCAAUACAAAACGUUUUCAGACACCGUUGAAGAGGCUAACCGCCACUUAAAAACUGACUGACAUACUACUUUUCGAACCUCUCGUUCCCACAACAAUAGUCCGGGGCCAUAAGGAAGUUCUUCUUCCUUCACUCGGGACCUCUAAUAUUCCAACAUCUGGAACUAAAAGGCUUGUGGUGCCUAUCAAUGUCCAACAUGGUGUACUCUCGAUAACGAUCGCUGUAGUUCCUCUGCCAAACAUCUCAAGGUCUAUGAGGGAAACUACUUCACCGUAUACGUUUACAAGGAUGUUGAAGUAUGCUCGAAGGUCUACCCGUUUGAUAACUUCAACCACGUCUCUCUAAGUUCUAAGGACUGUAAAACAAGUUGGGUAAGGAAAGAGUCUGAUAAGGACCCUAGCUACCUAAACCUCUAAGGUGAAGCUAAGCACCUGAAGGUGCUUACCAGGAACUUUCACAUUUAUCCACACUACAACUGUAAGCGUUCCUCGAUGAGUCGUCGUAGAACGAAAGACCACCGAGUAGUAGUUAAGACGUCAAUUUCCUGGCAGAUCUUUUUCUUCAUGACCUCCUCAGGGGGGUUUUACGGGCCCAUUUCCAAAACCGUUCACCUUUAAGUUGUCUCUCCGCUAAGUCACAGACCUAACCUCCCUCGUAGGAACGUAGGGAACCCAGCAAGGUCGUUUACACCAAGAGGUUUCGUCUCAUACUUCUCGUGCCGCAAAGGAUAUAGGUCUCCUUUACGGGUACUUUACCACCUCGUACGUACGACGGGUUCGAAACACAACGGCUUCUACACACACCCGUUGUCAAUCUACGUCCGCUGACUGAUAGAAAUCCAGGCACUCACGCCGAGAUCUUGUUUGAGUCGACUAUGAACAUGCACGCACGGCUUUCUAUUACACGUUGUCAAAUGAGAGGUCUGAGGUUAGUUACAUAGGCCCUUAGUUCAGA